UUGGAGUGACCAUCCUGAUUCUGGAUUCAGUCAAGAAAGUAUUUUCUUUACAUACAGUUAAUCUGGAAAAUGGUGUCUUGAUUGAUUCCAGGGUCAGAGCAUAUACUCAGCACU